rnacentral:rRNA from 1 species
CACGUCGGGGGCGAGCGUUGUCCGGAUUUAUUGGGCGUAAAGAGCUCGUAGGCGGUCUGUCGCGUCGGCUGUGAAAACUCGGGGCUUAACCCCGGGCCUGCAGUGGGUACGGGCAGACUAGAGUGCGGUAGGGGAGACUGGAAUUCCUGGUGUAGCGGUGAAAUGCGCAGAUAUCAGGAGGAACACCGGUGGCGAAGGCGGGUCUCUGGGCCGUAACUGACGCUGAGGUGCGAAAGCGUGGGGAGCAAACAGG